rnacentral:rRNA from 1 species
AUUGAACGCUGGCGGCAGGCCUAACACAUGCAAGUCGAACGGUAACAGGAAGAAGCUUGCUUCUUUGCUGACGAGUGGCGGACGGGUGAGUAAUGUCUGGGAAACUGCCUGAUGGAGGGGGAUAACUACUGGAAACGGUAGCUAGUACCGCAUAACGUCGCAAGACCAAAGAGGGGGACCUUCGGGCCUCUUGCCAUCGGAUGUGCCCAGAUGGGAUUAGCUAGUAGGUGGGGUAACGGCUCACCUAGGCGACGAUCCCUAGCUGGUCUGAGAGGAUGACCAGCCACACUGGAACUGAGACACGGUCCAGACUCCUACGGGAGGCAGCAGUGGGGAAUAUUGCACAAUGGGCGCAAGCCUGAUGCAGCCAUGCCGCGUGUAUGAAGAAGGCCUUCGGGUUGUAAAGUACUUUCAGCGGGGAGGAAGGGAGUAAAGUUAAUACCUUUGCUCAUUGACGUUACCCGCAGAAGAAGCACCGGCUAACUCCGCG